rnacentral:misc_RNA from 1 species
UGAAAGGCGAAACGUAAUGUGAAUCGCAACUAACAGUGAAUCAUCGAAUCUUUGAACGCAGGCCGCACUUUGCAGUAUCACUCUGUGUUACUGCAAGGUAUUUACGUAUGAGUGUCAGCCUAAUAUCCUUUUGGUUCAUGAGGGGAAUCGACUUCAACUCAUGAAUACACAAAUGUCAAGAGACAUAUCUUUAGAAACAUUUUGUGUGUCUGGCCUCAUAUGUGAAAGGUUACCCGCUGGAUUUAA